rnacentral:rRNA from 1 species
GAUGAACGCUGGCGGCGUGCCUAAUACAUGCAAGUCGAGCGAACCACUUCGGUGGUGAGCGGCGAACGGGUGAGUAACACGUAGGUUAUCUGCCCAUCAGACGGGGACAACGAUUGGAAACGAUCGCUAAUACCGGAUAGGACGAAAGUUUAAAGGUGCUUCCGGCACCGCUGAUGGAUGAGCUUGCGGCGCAUUAGCUAGUUGGUAGGGUAAAGGCCUACCAAGGCGACGAUGCGUAGCCGACCUGAGAGGGUGAACGGCCACACUGGGACUGAGACACGGCCCAGACUCCUACGGGAGGCAGCAGUAGGGAAUCUUCGGCAAUGGGCGAAAGCCUGACCGAGCAACGCCGCGUGAAUGAUGAAGGCCUUCGGGUUGUAAAAUUCUGUUAUAAGGGAAGAACGACUUUAGUAGGAAAUGGCUAGAGUGUGACGGUACCUUAUGAGAAAGCCACGGCUAACUACGUGCCAGCCGCCGCAGUAAUAC